rnacentral:lncRNA from 1 species
UCUGACAUACUGCCUCAUUCCUCCAGCAGUAAGACUGAAGUCAGUCCGUCUGCAUUCAAAGAAACAAAUUCACUACAUUUUAUAUCAGUGUGCCUCUUUCAAAUGCAAGACAAAAGGACAGAAAUUUUUUCAUUUCUAUCAUCUCUUCCCCUCCACCCCUUCUUUCUCAAAACAGAUCUUCAUGCACAGUGGGUUUUUUUCCUGUCUACUCUGAAACAUUCUUCCACCCCACUCUCAUUAGGAAAAGCUGGAAAUAAAAGUAAAAACAUAAAGUGAGCAUCUGAUAAUGCUUUUACUGUCUUUGCUGUCUCUCAGCAAACCCAGAACAUACUUUUCACUUUAACUGUAUGCUGGGGCAGCUAAUAGCUGUACUGAAAGGGCAUAUAUUAUCUUGGAGUAAUACUGCUAGUAAAAAUAGACAAGCUUUUCUGCAAAUAAAUCCCUUUUCAGAAUGUUUUGUUUUCCUACUUACUAGGAAAUUAUUACAAAUAUAAUAUGAAUGUAGCUAGCGAAUGAACCCUAUUUUAAUUAUACUUGUGCUUUUAUGGAUGGCAGGAUCCUGUUCUGGAGGGCAGACCACAAAGCAGGCAUUGUAGUGUUACCAUGCAUUUGCUGACUCUAAUUUGGCUUAAUGCAUUUUUUCCUUAGCCUAGUAAAACGCCAGAGUUGAUUAAUGUUGAUUAAUAUCGUUCUUCAUAAACUUUUCAUGCUGCACAGUCUGAUUUUAUCUGAGGUAUGUCAACUAGUAUCAUGGGGAGCUUUUUCAGGAAAGCAGUAGUUGAGAGGCUCAAAUAAGUGCUAAUGAUCUCAAUACAUGAGAAAUAAAUUGUUGUUCAAUUCAAUGUUAGCUUUUGUUGUUCCAGUGCCUUUUGUCCCUGGAGUGUACAGGGAACUUCCACAAAAUACCUGCUCCUUUCUUCAGGUACUGGAGCUAAAAAUGGAAUGAAAGACUGUUUGCUUGAAUAACAAAAAUGCUUUUAGAAGCAGUGUAGCAGUGCUACCACUUCUGCCUUUAUCUAUUUGUUCAAUUAAUUGAACUUCCUGAUUAAUUUUCCGGUCAUUUGACAGAUGUGGAGCCUAGAUAGGUACAUUUUUAGAUAGAAAAUACCACAUGCUAAGCUUUAAUUAUCAUUCCUCUCAGGCAUGUUUUCAUUAUCAAAGCUGCUAUAUUCCAGGUCUACAAGAAUUAACCUUAGUUGAAAACCCGAAGAACUAAAGCCCAGCUGGCUUUGGGUUUUGAGGAAAAGGAACAGAGUUAAACCAGUGUUUUCUAUCUCUUGUCAACAAAUAGACCGCAAUGAAAGAAGGACCUCAGUAAAAAGCCAUAGAAUCAUGGAAUGGUUUGGGUUGGAAGGCACCUUAAAGCUCACCCAGUCCUAACCCCCCACUGUGGUCUGGGACACCUCCCACCAGCUCAGGCUGCGCAGGGCACAUCCAGCCUGGCCUUAACACCUCCAGGAGUGGGGCAACCAUGGCUUCUCUGGGCAGCCUGUGCUAGGGCCUCACCUCCCUCUCAGUAAAGAAUUCCUUCCUUACAUCUACAUCUAAAUCUACCCUCUUAGUUAAAAUAAAUUCACCCUUGCCCUAUCACCACAUGCCCUUGUGAAAAAUCCCUUCCCAUCUUUCCUCCAGGCGCCUUUAGGUACUGGGAGGCCUCAAAAUGGUCUCCUCAGAGCCUUCCCAUCUCCAGGCUGAACAUGCCAGCUCCCUCAGCCUUUCUUUACAAGAGAGGUGCUCCAACUCCCUGAGCAUCCUCAGGGCUCCAAGAGGUCCAUAUCUCUCGUGCUGGGGGCUGUAGAGCUGGAUGCAGUAAAGGGCUGUUUUUGCACGGAUGGAUGUUCCCUUCUCUAUUGAACAGUUAUACCACACCUUUAGACUUCCAGCUCUUGCAAUACCAUGGAAAAAUUUCAGCAGCUCUCCUCCAGCAGUAUCCUCCAUCCUACAGAAACCUUUCUCCAAUUUUUUCUUCAAGUCUCACUUUAAUCUCAUCUUAUAAUGGCUGUGGGGGAAAAAAUAGCCAUUUUCCAUUUUUUUUAGUGUUGCUAAUUUAUCUGACCGCUGUCUUCUCAUUUCAACCGCUGUGUUUACGUGAUUUGCUCACUAGUUGUGUUUUGCCUACAGCUUUCUGACUCUGAGUUUUCAGUGACAACGGGCAGUACACUGUGCCAUUCUUUUCUAUAAGUAUUUAGGACACUACAGCCUUCAUACGUAACUGGGUUUUCUAAGAAUUACUGUAGUAAUAGUAAUAAAAAGUCAGGAUAUUAUUAUGACUUUUAAUAAUGGACAAUGAAUUUAGAGACAGAAUUUCACGGUGGACAUAAAAAAAAAAAUAAAAUAAUCCACAGUCACUUCUAUCUUGUAUAGAAUCAGAAGGUUGGGGUUUUCAAGCUGUAACGACAACAGGGAUGAAUAUAUACCCAAGAUCUGGCCCAGGAUAGUCUGUACCAACUCUGGAGGAUGGUCUUAUUACUCAAUGAAAAAAAAAUCGUGUGGGAUUUAAGUGUGCUGAUGUUUCUUCUGAAGCACUUUGAGAUUUAGAAAUUUAGUGGGGGGCAGGGGUUGGAAGGCAGGAAAACAAACAGGCAAGGAAAUGUUGCAUGCCUGUUAUAGGAACACGUGAUCAAGUUCUGAGCCCCUCCUGUACCAGUGUGAGCACAUGCUUUAUGCAUUAAAUAGUAUCUGUAUGUUCAACACUGCUGAUUUUGAGACCUGUAUGGUAUCUGACAAUCCCAUGUCCAAGCUGGGAACAAUUUUUAAUACUACUGAAGGGCCUGUGGGGGACCAAUAAAAGCAGAUUUUUG